UUGACCUCAAAUCAGGUAGGACUACCCGCUGAACUUAAGCAUAUCAAUAAGCGGAGGAAAAGAAACUAACAAGGAUUCCCCUAGUAACUGCGAGUGAAGCGGGAAGAGCUCAAAUUUGAAAUCUGGCGGUUCCUUGGACCGUCCGAGUUGUAAUCUAGAGAAGUGCUACCUGUGCUGGACCGUGUACAAGUCUUCUGGAAUGGAGCAUCACAGAGGGUGAGAAUCCCGUCUUUGACACGGACUGCCUGUGCGAUAUGGUGCGCUCUCGAAGAGUCGAGUUGUUUGGGAAUGCAGCUCAAAAUGGGUGGUAAAUGCCAUCUAAAGCUAAAUAUUGGCGAGAGACCGAUAGCGAACAAGUACCGUGAGGGAAAGAUGAAAAGAACUUUGGAAAGAGAGUUAAACAGUACGUGAAAUUGCUGAAAGGGAAACGCUUGAAGUCAGUCGCGUCGGCUGGAAAUCAGUCUUGCUUCUGCUUGACGUACUUUCUGGUCUGACGGGUCAGCAUCAGUUUUGACCGCUGGAUAAAGUCAUUGGGAAUGUGGCAUCUCAGGAUGUGUUAUAGCCCGUUGUCGCAUACAGUGGUUGGGAUUGAGGAGCUCAGCACGCCGCAAGGCCGGGUCCUUCUUGGAUCACGUUCGUGCUUAGGAUGCUGGCAUAAUGGCUUUAAUCGACCCGUC
rnacentral:rRNA from 2 species